rnacentral:rRNA from 1 species
UACGGAGGGUGCAAGCGUUAUCCGGAUUCACUGGGUUUAAAGGGUGCGUAGGUGGGUCUGUAAGUCCGUGGUGAAAUCUCCAAGCUUAACCUGGAAACUGCCAUGGAUACUAUAGGUCUUGAAUACCGUGGAGGUGAGCGGAAUAUGUCAUGUAGCGGUGAAAUGCUUAGAUAUGACAUAGAACACCAAUUGCGAAAGGCAGCUCACUACACGAAUAUUGACACUGAGGCACGAAAGCGUGGGGAUCAAACAGG